rnacentral:rRNA from 1 species
UACAGAGGUCUCAAGCGUUGUUCGGAAUCACUGGGCGUAAAGGGUGUGUAGGCGGCGUGGAAAGUCAGGUGUGAAAUCCGGGGGCUCAACCCCCGAAUAGCACCCGAUACUGCCAUGCUGGAGGUCUGUAGAGGAGUCUGGAAUUUUCGGUGUAGCAGUGAAAUGCGUAGAUAUCGAAAGGAACACUUAUAGCGAAAGCAAGACUCUGGGCAGAAUCUGACGCUGAAACACGAAGGCCAGGGGAGCGAACGGG